UAUCCUCAUAGGCUGUCAUUUCACGCACCUUUCUACAUUAGGCACUUCGACACUAAUUAAACUGAGAGAGCGACAGACAGACAGACAGACAGAAGCUGAGAGAACAACUGAGACAUACUACAACUAAAAAGGACAAUUUCACAUACAACAAAGAACUGAAACAGGACUGAAGAAAUAACUAGAUUUAACAAACCAUCAGAGACCUUCAACUUUCCCCUUGCAAGAGGUGAGCAAAUAAGAAGUCUUAUUCUCUCAAAGUAAGAAGAAAGCUAUUUCAGCUCAACAAGCAUAACAACAGCAGAACACAGUCGGUCAUAACACCGUCUGAUUGGCAAGUAGAGCUGUUAACCUGUUCUUCUAGAAGAAUUGUGAACUGUAACACGAUGGCCAGAAGAGAAGCAGGAUUUGUCCGCACUAUGGUGUACCCUGAAGGGAUGGUGGACGAAGAGGAGAGACAAAUGCAUAAAAAAAAAGUUGUGAGAGAAAACCCUGAAAUACUGUUUAGACACCUCAACAAAAAGGGCGAAACCGUUAACUAUACUUUCUACACUACAUGCCGACCGGCAUGGACAACAGCCUUCAAAGAACAUUAUGGAGAUGAUACAGAAAGACCAAUUGAAAAUGCAACGCAACUGCGCAUAUUUACUGACCCGAUAACACGUCUAAGAGUUAACGUUUACGAUAGUGGAACUGUAAUGGUGCAGGGCAGUCGUGCAGCCAUUCAAAUCUUUGAAGAAACCUUUCUUAACCUGAGAGAAAUGGUGGUGAGGGAUGGAGCAGAAGCUGCAAGAGAUGAAGAAAACAAUCAAGAACCUGUCUGAGGACACCAGCAGAAACCAGGGACUACGGAAGGACAUCACAGAAGAACCCCAACUGACUCCCACCGGACAUCACCAGACAAACACCCACCUGCAGCGGACUGUUACCAAAGACCCCCAUCAUAAACAAGACAGUGCUAAACUCUUAUCAAAUGAUGUAAAAAAUGUUUUUAUUAAUGUUACCCAUUCAUGUUACAAUCAGAUUUUAAUUUAAUGUAAAAAAAAUCUUACGUAUGUAUCUAACUAGAAUAUUUUAGAAGUGUUUUUUUUUUUUUUUUCAAUUUGGAAUGCCCAAUUCCCAAUGUGCUUUUAAGUCCUUGUGGUGGCGUAGUGACUCACCUCAAUCCAGGUGGUGGAGGAUGAAUCCCAGUUGCCUCUGCGUCUGAGACCGUCAACCCGCACAUCUUAUCAUGUGGUUGAGUGCGUUACCAUGGAGACAUAGCGUGAAGCCUCCACAUGCGCUAUUCUCCACGGCAUCCACGCACAACUCACCACACGCCCCACUGGAACGAACCACAUUAUAGCAACCACGAGGAUAUGUGACCAUGUGACUUUACCCUCCCUAGCAACUGCUUAGGAGACCUGGCUGGAGUCACUCAGCACACCCUGGGAUUCGAACUAGCGAACCCCAGGGGUGGUAGCCAGCGUCUUUUCCACUGAGCUACCCAGGCCCCCGAAAAGUGUUUUUUUUUUUAAUCAAAAAUAGGGGUUAAGAGUUUAAUCAAAUUUAUUCUUCUCUAUCUAUGGCCAUAUUUUUGAUACAUUAUGGCUUUAGUCACAAAUGUGUAUGUAUGUAGCUCUGUGUACCUCUAUUAUUCUCUUUCUGUUCCAGCGUCUUUGUACUAGCUCAUACCUUUGUAUUUUUCUAUUCAAUUCUUGAACUUUGUAUUUCUCAUGUUAAAGUCUGCUUAGAAUGAACUGCUUUUGGUUGUAGUAUUCUUCAUUGGUAAUUCACUUUGAAUAAAAGAGUUUGAUAUUGGAUAAAAUGUUAAUGUAUACCUUUCUCUUUCACAUCCAGAUUUAAAAUGAUAAAGAAUAAAUUUAUAUUUCUUAGC